rnacentral:rRNA from 22 species
GGGUUGUGAGGUUAAGCGACUAAGCGUACACGGUGGAUGCCCUGGCAGUCAGAGGCGAUGAAGGGCGUGCUAAUCUGCGAUAAGCGCCGGUAAGGUGAUAUGAACCGUUAUAACCGGCGAUACCCGAAUGGGGAAACCCAGUGUGAUUCGUCACACUAUCAUUAACUGAAUCCAUAGGUUAAUGAGGCGAACCGGGGGAACUGAAACAUCUAAGUACCCCGAGGAAAAGAAAUCAACCGAGAUUCCCCCAGUAGCGGCGAGCGAACGGGGAGGAGCCCAGAGCCUGAAUCAGCAUGUGUGUUAGUGGAAGCGUCUGGAAAGGCGCGCGAUACAGGGUGACAGCCCCGUACACAAAAGCGCAUGUGCUGUGAGCUCGAUGAGUAGGGCGGGACACGUGGUAUCCUGUCUGAAUAUGGGGGGACCAUCCUCCAAGGCUAAAUACUCCUGACUGACCGAUAGUGAACCAGUACCGUGAGGGAAAGGCGAAAAGAACCCCGGCGAGGGGAGUGAAAAAGAACCUGAAACCGUGUACGUACAAGCAGUGGGAGCACAGGUUUACCUGUGUGACUGCGUACCUUUUGUAUAAUGGGUCAGCGACUUAUAUUCUGUAGCAAGGUUAACCGAAUAGGGGAGCCGGAGGGAAACCGAGUCUUAAUUGGGCGUUAAGUUGCAGGGUAUAGACCCGAAACCCGGUGAUCUAGCCAUGGGCAGGUUGAAGGUUGGGUAACACUAACUGGAGGACCGAACCGACUAAUGUUGAAAAAUUAGCGGAUGACCUGUGGCUGGGGGUGAAAGGCCAAUCAAACCGGGAGAUAGCUGGUUCUCCCCGAAAGCUAUUUAGGUAGCGCCUCGUGAAUUCAUCUCCGGGGGUAGAGCACUGUUUCGGCUAGGGGGCCAUCCCGGCUUACCAACCCGAUGCAAACUGCGAAUACCGGAGAAUGUUAUCACGGGAGACACACGGCGGGUGCUAACGUCCGUCGUGAAGAGGGAAACAACCCAGACCGCCAGCUAAGGUCCCAAAGUCAUGGUUAAGUGGGAAACGAUGUGGGAAGGCCCAGACAGCCAGGAUGUUGGCUUAGAAGCAGCCAUCAUUUAAAGAAAGCGUAAUAGCUCACUGGUCGAGUCGGCCUGCGCGGAAGAUGUAACGGGGCUAAACCAUGCACCGAAGCUGCGGCAGCGAACGUAUCACUUAAAGCGAUUCAGCGGGUUACGAUUGACGGAGCGAAGCGACGUCAAAGCGUAUACAAAGUCGAGUCGGUUUAAGGAUACGUUCGUUGGGUAGGGGAGCGUUCUGUAAGCCUGUGAAGGUGGCCUGUGAGGGUUGCUGGAGGUAUCAGAAGUGCGAAUGCUGACAUAAGUAACGAUAAAGCGGGUGAAAAGCCCGCUCGCCGGAAGACCAAGGGUUCCUGUCCAACGUUAAUCGGGGCAGGGUGAGUCGACCCCUAAGGCGAGGCCGAAAGGCGUAGUCGAUGGGAAACAGGUUAAUAUUCCUGUACUUGGUGUUACUGCGAAGGGGGGACGGAGAAGGCUAUGUUGGCCGGGCGACGGUUGUCCCGGUUUAAGCGUGUAGGCUGGUUUUCCAGGCAAAUCCGGAAAAUCAAGGCUGAGGCGUGAUGACGAGGCACUACGGUGCUGAAGCAACAAAUGCCCUGCUUCCAGGAAAAGCCUCUAAGCAUCAGGUAACAUCAAAUCGUACCCCAAACCGACACAGGUGGUCAGGUAGAGAAUACCAAGGCGCUUGAGAGAACUCGGGUGAAGGAACUAGGCAAAAUGGUGCCGUAACUUCGGGAGAAGGCACGCUGACACGUAGGUGAAGUGAUUUACUCAUGGAGCUGAAGUCAGUCGAAGAUACCAGCUGGCUGCAACUGUUUAUUAAAAACACAGCACUGUGCAAACACGAAAGUGGACGUAUACGGUGUGACGCCUGCCCGGUGCCGGAAGGUUAAUUGAUGGGGUCAGCGCAAGCGAAGCUCCUGAUCGAAGCCCCGGUAAACGGCGGCCGUAACUAUAACGGUCCUAAGGUAGCGAAAUUCCUUGUCGGGUAAGUUCCGACCUGCACGAAUGGCGUAAUGAUGGCCAGGCUGUCUCCACCCGAGACUCAGUGAAAUUGAACUCGCUGUGAAGAUGCAGUGUACCCGCGGCAAGACGGAAAGACCCCGUGAACCUUUACUAUAGCUUGACACUGAACAUUGAGCCUUGAUGUGUAGGAUAGGUGGGAGGCUUUGAAGUGUGGACGCCAGUCUGCAUGGAGCCGACCUUGAAAUACCACCCUUUAAUGUUUGAUGUUCUAACGUGGACCCGUGAUCCGGGUUGCGGACAGUGUCUGGUGGGUAGUUUGACUGGGGCGGUCUCCUCCUAAAGAGUAACGGAGGAGCACGAAGGUUGGCUAAUCCUGGUCGGACAUCAGGAGGUUAGUGCAAUGGCAUAAGCCAGCUUGACUGCGAGCGUGACGGCGCGAGCAGGUGCGAAAGCAGGUCAUAGUGAUCCGGUGGUUCUGAAUGGAAGGGCCAUCGCUCAACGGAUAAAAGGUACUCCGGGGAUAACAGGCUGAUACCGCCCAAGAGUUCAUAUCGACGGCGGUGUUUGGCACCUCGAUGUCGGCUCAUCACAUCCUGGGGCUGAAGUAGGUCCCAAGGGUAUGGCUGUUCGCCAUUUAAAGUGGUACGCGAGCUGGGUUUAGAACGUCGUGAGACAGUUCGGUCCCUAUCUGCCGUGGGCGCUGGAGAACUGAGGGGGGCUGCUCCUAGUACGAGAGGACCGGAGUGGACGCAUCACUGGUGUUCGGGUUGUCAUGCCAAUGGCACUGCCCGGUAGCUAAAUGCGGAAGAGAUAAGUGCUGAAAGCAUCUAAGCACGAAACUUGCCCCGAGAUGAGUUCUCCCUGAGACUUAGAGUCUCCUGAAGGAACGUUGAAGACGACGACGUUGAUAGGCCGGGUGUGUAAGCGCAGCGAUGCGUUGAGCUAACCGGUACUAAUGAACCGUGAGGCUUAACCUUACAACGCCGAAG